rnacentral:SRP_RNA from 1 species
AAGGUAGUGAACCUGGUCAGGUCCGGAAGGAAGCAGCCACAGCUAUUUAUUGUAAGUGCCGGGGGUAAGGCUCGCCUCC